rnacentral:rRNA from 1 species
GACGAACGCUGGCGGCGUGCUUAACACAUGCAAGUCGAACGGAAAGGCCCUGCUUUUGUGGGGUGCUCGAGUGGCGAACGGGUGAGUAACACGUGAGUAACCUGCCCUUGACUUUGGGAUAACUUCAGGAAACUGGGGCUAAUACCGGAUAGGAGCUCCUGCUGCAUGGUGGGGGUUGGAAAGUUUCGGCGGUUGGGGAUGGACUCGCGGCUUAUCAGCUUGUUGGUGGGGUAGUGGCUUACCAAGGCUUUGACGGGUAGCCGGCCUGAGAGGGUGACCGGCCACAUUGGGACUGAGAUACGGCCCAGACUCCUACGGGAGGCAGCAGUGGGGAAUAUUGCACAAUGGGCGGAAGCCUGAUGCAGCAACGCCGCGUGCGGGGUGACGGCCUUCGGGUUGUAAACCGCUUUCGCCUGUGACGAAGCGUGAGUGACGGUAAUGGGUAAAGAAGCACCGGCUAACUACGUGCCAGCAGCCGCGGUGAUACGUAGGGUGCGAGCGUUGUCCGGAUUUAUUGGGCGUAAAGGGCUCGUAGGUGGUUGAUCGCGUCGGAAGUGUAAUCUUGGGGCUUAACCCUGAGCGUGCUUUCGAUACGGGUUGACUUGAGGAAGGUAGGGGAGAAUGGAAUUCCUGGUGGAGCGGUGGAAUGCGCAGAUAUCAGGAGGAACACCAGUGGCGAAGGCGGUUCUCUGGGCCUUUCCUGACGCUGAGGAGCGAAAGCGUGGGGAGCGAACAGGCUUAGAUACCCUGGUAGUCCACGCUGUAAACGGUGGGUACUAGGUGUGGGGUCCAUUCCACGGGUUCCGUGCCGUAGCUAACGCUUUAAGUACCCCGCCUGGGGAGUACGGCCGCAAGGCUAAAACUCAGAGGAAUUGACGGGGCCCCGCACAAGCGGCGGAGCAUGCGGAUUAAUUCGAUGCAACGCGUAGAACCUUACCUGGGUUUGACAUGGAUCGGGAGUGCUCAGAGAUGGGUGUGCCUCUUUUGGGGUCGGUUCACAGGUGGUGCAUGGCUGUCGUCAGCUCGUGUCGUGAGAUGUUGGGUUAAGUCCCGCAACGAGCGCAACCCUUGUUCACUGUUGCCAGCACGUUAUGGUGGGGACUCAGUGGAGACCGCCGGGGUCAACUCGGAGGAAGGUGGGGAUGACGUCAAGUCAUCAUGCCCCUUAUGUCCAGGGCUUCACGCAUGCUACAAUGGCUGGUACAGAGAGUGGCGAGCCUGUGAGGGUGAGCGAAUCUCGGAAAGCCGGUCUCAGUUCGGAUUGGGGUCUGCAACUCGACCUCAUGAAGUCGGAGUCGCUAGUAAUCGCAGAUCAGCAACGCUGCGGUGAAUACGUUCCCGGG